UACGGAGGGUGCAAGCGUUAUCCGGAUUCACUGGGUUUAAAGGGAGCGCAGGCGGGCUAGUAAGUCAGUGGUGAAAGCCCAUCGCUCAACGGUGGAACGGCCAUUGAUACUGCCAGACUUGAAUUAUUAGGAAGUAACUAGAAUAUGUAGUGUAGCGGUGAAAUGCUUAGAGAUUACAUGGAAUACCAAUUGCGAAGGCAGGUUACUACUAAUGGAUUGACGCUGAUGGACGAAAGCGUGGGUAGCGAACAGG
rnacentral:rRNA from 1 species